rnacentral:rRNA from 1 species
AUUGAACGCUGGCGGCAGGCCUAACACAUGCAAGUCGAGCGGAUGAAGGGAGCUUGCUCCUGGAUUCAGCGGCGGACGGGUGAGUAAUGCCUAGGAAUCUGCCUGGUAGUGGGGGAUAACGUCCGGAAACGGGCGCUAAUACCGCAUACGUCCUGAGGGAGAAAGUGGGGGAUCUUCGGACCUCACGCUAUCAGAUGAGCCUAGGUCGGAUUAGCUAGUUGGUGGGGUAAAGGCCUACCAAGGCGACGAUCCGUAACUGGUCUGAGAGGAUGAUCAGUCACACUGGAACUGAGACACGGUCCAGACUCCUACGGGAGGCAGCAGUGGGGAAUAUUGGACAAUGGGCGAAAGCCUGAACCAGCCAUGCCGCGUGUGUGAAGAAGGUCUUCGGAUUGUAAAGCACUUUAAGUUGGGAGGAAGGGCAGUAAGUUAAUACCUUGCUGUUUUGACGGUACCAACAGAAUAAGCACCGGCUAACUUCGUG